UACGUAGGUGGCAAGCGUUGUCCGGAUUUACUGGGCGUAAAGGGAGCGUAGGUGGAUAUUUAAGUGGGAUGUGAAAUACUCGGGCUUAACCUGAGUGCUGCAUUCCAAACUGGAUAUCUAGAGUGCAGGAGAGGAAAGUGGAAUUCCUAGUGUAGCGGUGAAAUGCGUAGAUAUUAGGAAGAACACCAGUGGCGAAGGCGACUUUCUGGACUGUAACUGACACUGAGGCUCGAAAGCGUGGGGAGCGAACAGG
rnacentral:rRNA from 1 species